rnacentral:rRNA from 1 species
AGUGAACGCUGGCGGUAGGCCUAACACAUGCAAGUCGAACGGCAGCACAGAGGAGCUUGCUCCUUGGGUGGCGAGUGGCGGACGGGUGAGGACUACCUCGGAAUCUACUCUGUCGUGGGGGAUAACGUAGGGAAUCUUACGCUAAUACUGCACACUACCUACGGGUGAAAGCAGUGGAUCUUCGGACCUUGCGCGAUGGUAUGAGCCGAUGUCGGAUUAGCUUGUUGGCGGGGUAAAGGCCCACCAAGGCGACGAUCCGUAGCGGGUCUGAGAGGAUGAUCAGCCACACUGGAACUGAGACACGGUCCAGACUCCUACGGGAGGCAGCAGUGGGGAAUAUUGGACAAUGGGAGCAAGCCUGAUCCAGCCAUACCGCGUGGGUGAAGAAGGCCUUCGGGUUGUAAAGCCCUUUUGUUGGGAAAGAAAUCCAUCUGGUUAAUACCCGGGUGGGAUGACGGUACCCAAAGAAUAAGCACCGGCUAACUUCGUGCCAGCCGCCGCCGUAAAAC